CAGACCGCCAGCUAAGGUCCCAAAGUCAUGGUUAAGUGGGAAACGAUGUGGGAAGGCCCAGACAGCCAGGAUGUUGGCUUAGAAGCAGCCAUCAUUUAAAGAAAGCGUAAUAGCUCACUGGUCGAGUCGGCCUGCGCGGAAGAUGUAACGGGGCUAAACCAUGCACCGAAGCUGCGGCAGCGACGCUGAUGCGUUGUUGGGUAGGGGAGCGUUCUGUAAGCCUGCGAAGGUGUGCUGUGAGGCAUGCUGGAGGUAUCAGAAGUGCGAAUGCUGACAUAAGUAACGAUAAAGCGGGUGAAAAGCCCGCUCGCCGGAAGACCAAGGGUUCCUGUCCAACGUUAAUCGGGGCAGGGUGAGUCGACCCCUAAGGCGAGGCCGAAAGGCGUAGUCGAUGGGAAACAGGUUAAUAUUCCUGUACUUGGUGUUACUGCGAAGGGGGGACGGAGAAGGCUAUGUUGGCCGGGCGACGGUUGUCCCGGUUUAAGCGUGUAGGCUGGUUUUCCAGGCAAAUCCGGAAAAUCAAGGCUGAGGCGUGAUGACGAGGCACUACGGUGCUGAAGCAACAAAUGCCCUGCUUCCAGGAAAAGCCUCUAAGCAUCAGGUAACAUCAAAUCGUACCCCAAACCGACACAGGUGGUCAGGUAGAGAAUACCAAGGCGCUUGAGAGAACUCGGGUGAAGGAACUAGGCAAAAUGGUGCCGUAACUUCGGGAGAAGGCACGCUGAUAUGUAGGUGAAGUCCCUUGCGGAUGGAGCUGAAAUCAGUCGAAGAUACCAGCUGGCUGCAACUGUUUAUUAAAAACACAGCACUGUGCAAACACGAAAGUGGACGUAUACGGUGUGACGCCUGCCCGGUGCCGGAAGGUUAAUUGAUGGGGUCAGCGCAAGCGAAGCUCUUGAUCGAAGCCCCGGUAAACGGCGGCCGUAACUAUAACGGUCCUAAGGUAGCGAAAUUCCUUGUCGGGUAAGUUCCGACCUGCACGAAUGGCGUAAUGAUGGCCAGGCUGUCUCCACCCGAGACUCAGUGAAAUUGAACUCGCUGUGAAGAUGCAGUGUACCCGCGGCAAGACGGAAAGACCCCGUGAACCUUUACUAUAGCUUGACACUGAACAUUGAGCCUUGAUGUGUAGGAUAGGUGGGAGGCUUGGAAGUGUGGACGCCAGUCUGCAUGGAGCCGACCUUGAAAUACCACCCUUUAAUGUUUGAUGUUCUAACGUUGACCCGUAAUCCGGGUUGCGGACAGUGUCUGGUGGGUAGUUUGACUGGGGCGGUCUCCUCCUAAAGAGUAACGGAGGAGCACGAAGGUUGGCUAAUCCUGGUCGGACAUCAGGAGGUUAGUGCAAUGGCAUAAGCCAGCUUGACUGCGAGCGUGACGGCGCGAGCAGGUGCGAAAGCAGGUCAUAGUGAUCCGGUGGUUCUGAAUGGAAGGGCCAUCGCUCAACGGAUAAAAGGUACUCCGGGGAUAACAGGCUG
rnacentral:rRNA from 1 species